rnacentral:rRNA from 1 species
AGUGAACGCUGGCGGCAUGCCUAAUACAUGCAAGUCGAACGGCAGCACAGUAAGAUCUCUCCUCUACGGUUGGCGACUGGCGGACGGGUGAGGCGUACAUCGCAAUCUACUUUUUCGUGGGUGAUAACGUAGGGAAACAUACGCUAAUACCGCAUACGAUCUACGGGUGAAAGCAGGGGAUCUUCGCACCUUUCGCGUCUCUAUUAGCUGAUGUCGGAUUAGCUAGUUUGCGGGGUAAAGGCCCACCAAGGCGACGAUGCGUAGCUUGUCUGAGAGGAUGAUCAGCCACACUGGAACUGAGACACGGUCCAGACUCCUACGGGAGGCAGCAGUAGGGAAUAUUAGGCAAUGGGCGAAAGCCUGAUCCAGCAAUGCCGCGUGAGUGAAGAAGGCCUUCGGAUUGUAAAACCCUUUUAUUGGGGAAGAAAAGCAGCAGAUUAAAACCCGGCUGUUCUGACGGUACCUAAAGAGUAAGCACCGGCUAACUUCGUG